GCCAGGCACAGUGGCUCAUGCCUGUAGUCCCAGCCACUUGGGAGGCUGAGGCUGGAGGAUUGCUUGAGCUGAGGAGUUCUGGGCUGCAGUGCGCUAUGCUAAUCAGGUGUCCGUACUAAGUUCGGCAUCAAUAUGGUGACCUCCCGGGAGUGGGGACCACCAGGUUGCCUAAGGAGGGGUGAACCAGCCCAGAUCGGAAAUGGAGCAGGUCAAAACUCCUGUGCUGAUCAGUAGAGGGAUCGCGCCUGUGAAUAGCCACUGUGCUCCAGCCUGGGCAACAUAGCAAGACCCAGUCUGUU
ensembl:misc_RNA Metazoa_SRP Metazoan signal recognition particle RNA